rnacentral:rRNA from 1 species
CCUACGGGAGGCAGCAGUGAGGAAUAUUGGGCAAUGGGCGGAAGCCUGACCCAGCCAUCCCGCGUGCAGGACGAAGGCCCUAUGGGUUGUAAACUGCUUUUCCUGGGGGAGAAGCCCCCGCACGUGUGCGGGGUUGACGGUACCCAGGGAAUAAGCAUCGGCUAACUCCGUGCCAGCAGCCGCGGUAAU